CCUACGGGUGGCAGCAGUGAGGAAUAUUGGACAAUGGGCUUACGCCUGAACCAGCCAAGCAGCGUGAAGGAUGAAUGCCUUAUGGGUUGUAAACUUCUUUUAUAAAGGAAUAAAACGAGGCACGUGUGCCUUUUUGCAUGUACUUUAUGAAUAAGGAUCGGCGAACUCCGUUCCAGCAGCCGCGGUAAUACGGAGGAUCCGAGCGUUAUCCGGAUUUAUUUGGUUUAACGGGAGCGUAGAUGGGUUGUUAAGUCAGUUGUGAAAGUUUGCGGCUCAACCGUAGAAUUGCAAUUGAUACUGGCAGUCUUGAGUACAGUUGAGGUAGGCGGAAUUCGUGGUGUAGCGGUGAAAUGCUUAGAGAUCACGAAGAACCCCGAUUGCGAAGGCAGCUUACUAAACUGUGACUGACAUUGAUGCUCGAAAGUGUGGGUAUCAAACAGGAUUAGAUACCCGGGUAGUC
rnacentral:rRNA from 1 species